UUUCCGUAGGUGAACCUGCGGAAGGAUCAUUAAAGAGCGCCCCGUUUUUUGAAAUGGGUAAUUCUAAACCGUGUAUACAUACCUUUGUUGCUUUGGCAGGCCGCCCCUCAGGGCGUCGGCUCCGGCUGACUGCGCCUGCCAGAGGACCCAAACUCUUUUGUUUAGUGAUGUCUGAGUACUAUAUAAUAGUUAAAACUUUCAACAACGGAUCUCUUGGUUCUG
rnacentral:misc_RNA from 1 species